rnacentral:rRNA from 1 species
AGAGUUUGAUCAUGGCUCAGGAUGAACGCUGGCGGUGUGGAUAAGGCAUGCAAGUCGAGCGGGUUUAGACCCGCGGCAAACGGGCUAGUAACACGUGGGAAUCUACCCUAGAGUCGUGAAUAACCAUUUGAAAAGAUGGACAAUGCACGAUGUACUCUCCGGAGUAAAGAUUUAUCGCUCUAGGAGGAGCCCGCGUCCUAUCAGCUUGUUGGUGAGGUAAAAGCUCACCAAGGCAAUGACGGGUAGGGGGUGUGAGAGCAUGACCCCCAGCAUUGGCACUGAGACACUGGCCAAACUCCUACGGGAGGCUGCAGUCGAGAAUAUUCCACAAUGGGCGAAAGCCUGAUGGAGCGACACCGCGUGCGAGAUGAAGGCCCUAGGGUCGUAAAUCGCUUUUAUUAGGGAUCAAUGANNUGAGCGAC